CCUACGGGCGGCUGCAGUGGGGAAUAUUGGACAAUGGGCGAAAGCCUGAUCCAGCCAUGCCGCGUGUGUGAAGAAGGCCUUCGGGUUGUAAAGCACUUUCAGUGGGGAAGAAAGCCUUGGGGCUAAUACCCUCGAGGAAGGACAUCACCCACAGAAGAAGCAACGGCUAACUCCGUGCCAGCAGCCGCGGUAAUACGGAGGGUGCGAGCGUUAAUCGGAAUUACUGGGCGUAAAGCGCGCGUAGGCGGUCUGAUAAGCCGGUUGUGAAAGCCCCGGGCUCAACCUGGGAACGGCAUCCGGAACUGUCAGGCUAGAGUGCAGGAGAGGAAGGUAGAAUUCCCGGUGUAGCGGUGAAAUGCGUAGAGAUCGGGAGGAAUACCAGUGGCGAAGGCGGCCUUCUGGACUGACACUGACGCUGAGGUGCGAAAGCGUGGGUAGCAAACAGGAUUAGAUACCCGGGUAGUC
rnacentral:rRNA from 1 species